rnacentral:rRNA from 1 species
UACGGGGGGAGCAAGCGUUGUUCGGAUUUACUGGGCGUAAAGGGCGCGUAGGCGGCCAGCACAAGUCAGUUGUGAAAUCUCCGGGCUUAACUCGGAAAGGUCAACUGAUACUGUGCGGCUAGAGUGCAGAAGGGGCAACUGGAAUUCUCGGUGUAGCGGUGAAAUGCGUAGAUAUCGAGAGGAACACCUGCGGCGAAGGCGGGUUGCUGGGCUGACACUGACGCUGAUGCGCGAAAGCAUGGGGAGCGAACAGG